rnacentral:rRNA from 1 species
UACGGGGGGGGCAAGCGUUGUUCGGAAUUACUGGGCGUAAAGGGCUCGUAGGCGGCCAACUAAGUCGGACGUGAAAUCCCUCGGCUUAACCGGGGAACUGCGUCCGAUACUGGAUGGCUCGAGUGUGGGAGAGGGAUGCGGAAUUCCAGGUGUAGCGGUGAAAUGCGCAGAUAUCGGGAAGAACACCCGUGGCGAAGGCGGCUCUCUGGGACGGUACUGACGCUGAGACGCGAAAGCGUGGGGAGCGAACAGG